UACGUAGGGUGCGAGCGUUGCCCGGAUUUAUUGGGCGUAAAGGGCGCGUAGGCGGCACCGCGCGUCGCGCGUGAAAUCUCCCGGCUUACCUGGGAGGGGUCGCGCGAUACGGCGGCGCUCGAGCGCGGGAGAGGGAAGCGGAAUUCCCGGUGUAGUGGUGGAAUGCGUAGAGAUCGGGAGGAACACCAGUGGCGAAGGCGGCUUCCUGGACCGUGGCUGACGCUGAGGCGCGAAAGCGUGGGGAGCGAACAGG
rnacentral:rRNA from 1 species